UACGGGGGGAGCAAGCGUUGUUCGGAUUUACUGGGCGUAAAGGGCGCGUAGGCGGCCACCGCAAGUCGACUGUGAAAUCUCCGGGCUUAACCCGGAAAGGUCAACUGAUACUGCGGGGCUAGAGUGCAGAAGGGGCAACCGGAAUUCUCGGUGUAGCGGUGAAAUGCGUAGAUAUCGAGAGGAACACCUGCGGCGAAGGCGGGUUGCUGGGCUGACACUGACGCUGAAGCGCGAAAGCUAGGGGAGCGAACGGG
rnacentral:rRNA from 1 species